UACGUAGGGGGCAAGCGUUGUCCGGAUUUAUUGGGCGUAAAGAGCGUGUAGGCGGCCAAGCAGGUCAGCUGUGAAAACUCGAGGCUCAACCUCGAGACGUCGGUUGAAACCGCUUGGCUAGAGUCCGGAAGAGGAGAGUGGAAUUCCCGGUGUAGCGGUGAAAUGCGCAGAUAUCAGGAAGAACACCGAUGGCGAAGGCAGUUCUCUGGGCCGUAACUGACGCUGAGGAGCGAAAGCGUGGGGAGCGAACAGG
rnacentral:rRNA from 1 species